CAGCAGCCACGGUAAUACAGAGGGUGCAAGCGUUAAUCGGAAUUACUGGGCGUAAAGCGCGCGUAGGUGGUUUGUUAAGUUGGAUGUGAAAUCCCCGGGCUCAACAUGGGAACUGCAUCCAAAACUGGCAAGCUAGAGUAUGGUAGAGGGUGGUGGAAUUUCCUGUGUAGCGGUGAAAUGCGUAGAUAUAGGAAGGAACACCAGUGGCGAAGGCGGCCCCCUGGACAAAGACUGACGCUCAGGUGCGAAAGCGUGGGGAGCAAACAGGAUUAGAUACCCGUGUAGUCCCUGUCUCUUAUAA
rnacentral:rRNA from 1 species